CACAGCAGCGUGGUUUGUCUUGAAUGACGCGCAGGUUUAUAAAAAGUUUUGGAGGGUGUUAUCUUCGAUUUACACGAAGGUCUCUCCACGUGGGACAACUGUCCUCAAAUCAAGAGCUCCCGAUUUCCUCCAGACAGAUGAUCAUGAUUAAGUCCAACCUGGCAACGUCCAUGUUGUCCAACACCUGAGCUUCUGCCAGACACCACUCAGUUUACUUUCGCUCUAGUCACGCAAUGCUGUGUGCGCAAACCUCCAGCAACUGCUCAGCCCCAACACACAAGAAAGCCAUCAAGUACCUGCAAUUGACAGAAUCGCGUGCAAUUCAGGUAGUCCUGGAUUGUGCUGGCGCCAGGCCAAACGGGGAGUGAAGGAAAAGGCGGAGUGGAGUUUCACCUGCCUGAGAUGACAUGCAGAGCAGUCAGUGGUGUGGAAGUCUAUUCCUUUGGGUCUGCACUCCAUUCCUGCGAGUCCGGCCCUGGUUUUGCGGUUUCAGCAGAGCUAUGAUCCCAGAAAUACAAGCAAGCCUGGAGGUGGUUAGGACAUGAAAGUGAGUUCAAAACUCUUUGGCAGCAACCUACAAAAAAAACUUCAAGUACCGUCAUGCCUUGCGCGUCUACGUUUGGGCUGAGCGCAGCAUGUGCUUCAGCGCUCUGCUCCAACUAUGGCUCAUUGCUGCUCGGGCUCUCCACGGGAGCGCACCGUGCCGCCGCCGCCAGAGGAGCUGGGAACAUCACUGCACUGGAGCAUCAAGGGGGAGCACGAACUUUUUUGUUUUUAAACUCUUGCUCUUGGGAAAUAACCGCUCCGAGCUGUCUGCCUGAUUUGCCCCGAGCGCAAAUCCUUUUACGCACGGGUUCCCUUGGACGCAUCAGGAGGAUUAAACGCUGACCUUACAGCACUGACCCGUGUGGAGUUAAUAUUGUUAUUGGUAGAACUUGAUCACAAUGGAAUCGGAUGAUGGAUUCUACAGUCCAGCCCCGGGUCGUCUUGUUGGAUGUAAGGGAAUCAAGUGCCGGGAUGAGCGGUGUGUGUUCCUCCUGCUGCCCGGUCCCUGCUGCUGGACAAGCUGUGUGUCGGACACACCAGUCUCUUGGGAUACUUCACGCGUGUUCGUGGGGAGCCAGUGUCAUACAUGGCCAAUACCAUGAUAUUCUUAUGGAAAAUACUUUCUGGUGGAUUUGAGGUACAAUAUCCUGGAGUAUAUGUAUUUUUUUUCUUUGGGAAGUGAUGCUCAACAGAUGUGCAGCAAAUGUGGAUAAUGGACGGGACCCAUCAAUAUCAUCCAGCAGAAUGAAGGAAUCCAAAUUCAUGGAAUAAGAUGUGAACCUUUAAUUGCUUCCCAGGGAUCUUCUGAUGAUCUCAGAUGAGCAACAACAAGAAGAGGCUGAGUAAUGGAAACAUGAUCUUCAGUGAUUCAACAGGAUCAUGUUAAAUCCCGGCUUGGACUGCGGACCAGCAUCCCCUGCAGCAGAUGUUUGCUCUUGGCAUGGCUGCUGACAGCAUGAGCUCCAUCACUGACAAUGUUGCUGCUCAGGACCCGCGCCAGCCCCUUGGACUUGGAGGAGCUCUGACAUAAACUCAGCAGGACAGCGGCGUGUACUCCGCCGCUCCGACAUUAUGGAACAGAUCAGUCAACCCUGUCUGGAGAGAUGCUCAAGUAGGAAAGCCAAAUCAAUGAAUGUGCAUUCGCUGUAGUUUACCACAAUGGAUCUACAUAUUAUUUGACUUUUUCUAAAUUGAACCUGGAUUAAUAUUUUCCUGUAUAUGCAUCUGCUUUUGAUAUCCAGCGCUUAUUCAGACUGUUGUUCAUACCCUGUACCGUAGUUGUGACAUUUACUGUGUUAUUCUGGGACAAGUAUCAACAGGCGCUGGAACUGUAAACGGAAUAUAAUCAGAUGUUAUUUUCAUUUUUUAAGACUAUUUUUUCGCAAACCGGUGGCAGCGCUUCCACCAGCGCAGGCACACAUGAGGUCUGUGGAGUGAACAGCGCAAUAAAUGUCUCCUGUGGUGUAAAAGCUAAUUAAUACACGUGAUCGAGAUUCCUCAGAAGGAUCAGUCCAUUAGCAGCCAUUAUCAUCACAGUGUUAAUGAAUGUUAACCUUGAAAACUCUCCUACUCACCCUGCAUGUCACUGUGACACUCUGUGUGCGGUUAAUAUUCCUGUCAGGCUGCGUAUUUCCAUGAUGAUUUAUUGCAACAUAACUUUGAUUGUGUUACUUGCAGUAAUAAAGAGGUGUAUCCAA